GCACUUUUAUUUACUCACACCAACAUCACCCCUUUCUCACACCCCUCCUCCACCACACACCCCUCCUCCACCACACAACUCCUUCAUUUACUAGAAUCUGCUGCAGUUCCAUUUAGGCAGCAGCAGCUCCAUGGCAACCGUAGGCCCUGUCAAAAAAAAGACAACAACUUUCUCAUGAUGUCACCAUGGCUUUGUGUUUGGCUGGUGUAUUGUUGGUCUGUGUAUUAUAGUGAGGUUUGGUUGGUGUAUUGUUGGUCUGUGUAUUAUAGUGAGGUUUGGCUGGUGUAUUGUUGGUCUGUGUAUUAUAGUGAGGUUUGGCUGGUGUAUUGUUGGUCUGUGUAUUAUAGUGAGGUUUGGCUGGUGUAUUGUUGGUCUGUGUAUUAUAGUGAGGUUUGGCUGGUGUAUUGUUGGUCUGUGUAUUAUAGUGAGGUUUGGCUGGUGUAUUGUUAGUCUGUGUAUUAUAGUGAGGUUUGGCUGGUGUAUUGUUGGUCUGUGUAUUAUAGUGAGGUUUGGUUGGUGUAUUGUUGGUCUGUGUAUUAUAGUGAGGUUUGGCUGGUGUAUUGUUGGUCUGUGUAUUAUAGUGAGGUUUGGCUGGUGUAUUGUUGGUCUGUGUAUUAUAGUGAGGUUUGGCUGGUGUAUUGUUGGUCUGUGUAUUAUAGUGAGGUUUGGCUGGUGUAUUGUUGGUCUGUGUAUUAUAGUGAGGUUUGGCUGGUGUAUUGUUGGUCUGUGUAUUAUAGUGAGGUUUGGCUGGUGUAUUGUUGGUCUGUGUAUUAUAGUGAGGUUUGGCUGGUGUAUUGUUGGUCUGUGUAUUAUAGUGAGGUUUGGCUGGUGUAUUGUUGGUCUGUGUAUUAUAGUGAGGUUUGGUUGGUGUAUUGUUGGUCUGUGUAUUAUAGUGAGGUUUGGUUGGUGUAUUGUUGGUCUGUGUA